GCCAGGUGUGAUGGCUCACACCUGUAAUCCCAGCACUUUAGGAGGCUGAGGUGGGUGGAUCACCUGAGGUCAGGAGUUCGAGACCAGCCUGACCAACAUGGUGAAACCCCAUCUCUA
ensembl:misc_RNA Metazoa_SRP Metazoan signal recognition particle RNA